GGACAACUAUGUGAUAACAAAGUAGCAAGAGGGCAGCCAUCUGCAAGCCAAGGAGAGAGGCUCCAGAAGAAACCAAUCUGCUGCACUUCAACCUUGGAUUUCCAGACUCCAGAACUUAUUCUACUCUAUAAUCUUCAGUGCCUCAGCCAUUCUUUAGGUGACUCUCCUGGCACUUUUGUAGUCUCCAUUUCAGGUAUCACAUGCAGAAGGAACAACAUCUGACAGAAGAAGAGACCAUCUCUUCAAAUAAGAAAUAUGACCUCAGCAUUCCCAGGGUCACCUCCUGCUAGUUCCUUGAUCUGAGAAGAACCGAGGUCUGGCUUUCAGUACAAAAUUUACCAGGGAAUGAUUCUGGUUGUCCAGCCUGAUCAUUGCACACCACUUAUAUCCAUCACUGUGGCC